GCGCCCGUAGCUCAAUGGAUAGAGCGGCGGCCUUCUAAGCCGUUGAUACAGGUUCGAAUCCUGUCGGGCGCGCCA
rnacentral:tRNA from 1 species